CCUCGUGCUGAGGAAGGAAAGAAUUGGAAGUUCACAUCAGCUAUUGCUUCCAAGUCCUCCAGACCUCAGGUCAGCUGCGAGCUCCACUCCAAUAAACGUGAACAUUACAAGAGCUGUGUCUUAAAACUUAUUUCCAAGGAAGUGUCUCAUUUUAUUGCAGCACAAAAAAAAGAGACUCCAAGGUAAUAUUUACUUUGCUUUACAUUUCAUAAAAAAAAGAAGACUGUAAUUUCAUGGAGGCUCUAACAGGAAUUCCUCUUUCCAUCCAAGCGGAAGAAAUUGUGUUCAGGACCUUUCCCCGAGGGCUCAAGGAAAGCACUUGAACAUGGAAACUCCCACUCCACUUUAUUUGUGAGUUAGCCCUGCAGGAGGAUGAGGCAGGAAUUGAGACGCUAUAAGUGGACUAAGUGGCCAAAGCCUGUGACAUUAAGGAGUAGGAAAGGAUGCUGAGAGGAUAAUCUCAGAGAUGCAGCUCUCCAGCUGAUGAAAAUCAGAAGAGCCAGAUAAUCACUGAGAGGGAUUCCCACCUAGAAAGAAGGCAAUUGCAGGGGCUUUAAGAAAAAGGGUGCAGUAGUUGCUCCAGUUCUGCCUGUCAUUCCUGCACCACUGCCUUUCCAAGCACUGUCUCUUAAGAUGCUGGAGGAGGGGCUGAGGCCCUUUUAAUGAAGUGAAAGGAUGAGCGGGAGGCUGACCAGAACAGCAGUGGAAAGAGCAAAGACACAUGCUGAGAGCCCUGUGCAUGGGGAAACCAGAGCCGCAGCUUGUUCCAGACCCCGGAGCCUCUGAAGCACAGAUGUCUCCAGGAAAUCUUCACGCUUCACCCCAACAGAGCUCUGGCCAGGAAAAGAAUCUCCUUGGUCUAUUUUAAGUUGUAAAAGGAAAGAAUAUGAGACUCUUCCUAAAUUCUUGAAACCGGUAUCUGGGCCUCUGGGAAUGAAGAAAGACUCUGACUGUGACUGCAUUUAGGGUUCUUUUAUCAGGAUUAGUUCUGUCCCAGAAUUCAGAUGCAUGACUGAGGGGAUCCAUGUGAAAGAAAGACAUCCUAAUGUUGCUGGUGUUGGAAGGCAUGGAGGAAGAGCAGACACAGACCUCUGCUUUGGGAUGUCAUGCAUGAACCAGAGCCAGCUCGAGCUGCACUCUUCCCCCUGCUCCUUGCAUACAGCACGGUGUGGAUUUCACUGUUACUGGGAGAGCUGCUGCUUGGAGGAAAGUAUGAUUUACUCCUCAGUGUCCAAAGACAUCCUACCAAAAGGGUCACCACUGUUUUGUGUAGACCUCAGAAGGAGAACACGGAUUAAUUUGUUUCCCCAAAAUAAGGUUUUCUUUUAGAAACAAGAGAGCUAUUUUGCUUCUUGCGCAGUCUGAGGUAUAACAUGGAGUUCCAGUUUCCCUUAAGAGCUGAACUCCAUCCUCCUCCUACUAGGAUGGUUUUAUUUUAGUUACCAAAUAUUUGAGGUUAAAGUGAAUAGUUCAUCUUUAAUGGGAUUAUCUCUUUCAAUGUUUGCUUUCAUUACAGUUCCAAUUGCUCUGAGCAUGAGAACCUAACCUCACCAAAAGCAUAUUUUUGUAAUUUGAUACAAACUAAAUUUAACCUUUGACUCUCAUCUAUAGAGACGUUAGCUUUUUCCACUGAAAAGCAGAACGUUAGAUUAAAGAUCUGGCAGUUUCAAUUUCCAGGUUGCUAACCUUCCUGUGAUUGGGUCCUGAAAUGUGGAAAGAUGUGUAUUUAAUAAAUUUAUUUAAUAUUAAUUGUAACAGUCAAGAUGGUUUUAUACCUACUGCUUAGAAUAGCUGGAUGGAGGUUCUCUAUGAACUUUUAAAGGGAGAACUGCCUUGGCUGAUGCUGCACAAUACACUGGAUCUCUUUAAACAGAGAUAUUCAAAAUAAAACCUCUCCUUUGAGUUACUCUUCCAGUUCAUCCCAGUGCUUUGGUUAAACAAAUAAUUUUUAUUUAAACACUUUGGAAUACUAAGCCUGUGCUUAGGGAAAAAAAAGGUUUAUGUUCACUUUGUGCUCUCUCUCUUGAGGGUUGGCUUUAAAUGUGAUACCGAAUGGGUAACAAAUUCUCUGUAUUAUUCUACAUUUUCUCCAGUUAAGCCAUCAGGGAAACUGGAGGGGAAGGGUUGCUUUCUAGAAAAACUAAAUUCUUGUUCCCUGCUGGAAGAAUCAAUCUAAAUACAUGGAUUUUUUUCACUUCUGCUUUGAUGAAAUUAAAUGUUGAAAUUUUCACCAAAAAAAGUUUUGCAUAUAUUUGUCAAAGAGGUUUUUUUACUUAUUUGUUACCUUGUUCUAUCAGUGGAUUCCUACAAAAGGUAAGGUCAUAAGCUCAUUGACUGUCAGAGCUCGGGUAAAAUCAAUGGGACUUCUUCCCUGCACUUCUGCCAUAAUGAAGCAACAGAGGAAUGGCUCAUUGUGUACAUCAGAACACCAAGGGGAAUAUGGGAGCAUUUAUCUGUUUACUUAGCAUAGGAAAAUUCAAUACAAAUUGUACAAAUCCUCCCGCUCCUUAUACCUCCUACGACUGUAUUUCUCAAUUUGUAGGAAAGCCUGUGCAUUCAUAUACUUACUCAGGCUUCAUUUGGAAGACUGAUUUACAUAUAAAAAAUUACACUCUGUUACAUCUGUUUGUUCUGCACGGGGAAAUAAGCAAAGAAUAAAGAAACCUGUCCUAUAUUUCAGCUCUGCAGUCGUCAGAGAAGGAUACUGCAACUGAAAUUCAAAUUGUAGCACACACUGCGCUAAUAAAUGGUCAGCUUAGAAGCAUUUCCUGUUUAUACACUGUGUUAAUAAGCAUCCAUCACCCAUGUCACAUAUACGGGAUACCAAAUUCAAAUGUCAAACAAAAUGUAAGAGGUCACACAUUUUCCUUUGCUAACUAAAAGUGUAAUUCAUAAAUAUUAUUGCUACCAAACUCUCCAUCUACAGCACUUGUUUAGAAAUAUGCACAUGUAAUAUAAAUUGUGAUUAAGUUAAAUGGGUAUAUUAUUUCCUGUUUUAAGGGCGAACAGCAGCAUGAAUUAUGUUUUACUCAAUAGGCAUUUCAAUAAAACCCUAUAGACUAACAAGCUGCUAUCACACGCUUCAGCUGCACAGUCUAACAUGAGAAGGGUCUUAUGAUCCACAACUGAUAUUUAAGCUGUUUCUCCAUCUAUCUGUUAUUUCUGCUGAUGCAAAGAAAAAACAUUUUUGUUAAUUCUAAACCUUCUUUUUUUUUUUUUUUGUUAUAAAAAAAAGAAAGGGCCUAUUUAAUUGUGCAAAAUAAAUAAGACAAAUGCAAUCAGCUAAUAUUUUAUUUUUGCUGAGUUAAGAAAUGUAGGAAUAAGUCUUUUGAAAGUAACCAAUAAAGCACAACUUUUGGAGCUAUUCAUUUUAGAUGGUAGAAAUCAAACACUCAAAGAGCAAAAUAAAACAAAGGUUUUGAAAAUGGCUUGAAAAGAUUGUUGAAAAUGGGAAAUGUGGUGCCAUUUAGUCAUUCAAUUUUGUAGAAUCUUCCAUCUAACUUUCUGCUGUGCCUCUCUUUAAUACCGUAUUUCUAGUUAAUGUGAAUCAUUUAAGGGCCUGAUUCAGAAUCCUCUGAGGUCACUUUAGAGACUUACAAAGAUAUAACUGGACUUUAACGAGGCUUACUUUCAACCACAACGGUUCAAAGAGAGGAAGGAAGGAAGGAAGGAAGGAAGCAAAGGAAGGAAGGAAGGAAGGAAGGAAGGAAGAAGGAAGGAAGGAAGGAAGGAAGGAAGGAAGGAGGAAGGAAGGAAAGUAUCAUUAGAUUAGAUUUAAAUUAAUUUGAAAUUUUAAAAUGGAAAUUAUGAUAUUACAGGUAAUACCAUACUCUACUGACAAACUAUCCUCCUUUCAGGCCAUAAAAUAAAGAUCUAUUUAUCUCUAAAUUUAAAAUGUAUCAUUGCCCCCACUGCUAUGGCAAAAAUUAAGUGUCACUUGACUGUACUGAGUUCAAUUAAGUAAUAGGAGCAAAGGCACAUUUAACUAAAGAAAUAGCUUGGAUUGCAUGUAAAGAGUUAUUCCCAGCAAGGAGCUGCAUAGCCCAAGAUAAGCAAACUCAGUCACUGCUUGUCUUGAAGAACUGCCUACAAAACUUGGUUGCAAAUACUGUCAAAUCAAAGGCUUUCAAGGCAAAUAAGAAUGCCACACAUUCCCAAGUUAUCUACCCUUUUUUUUUAAAGCUUUGGUAGAAAAGAGAUUUUACCAAGGCACUGGAGUCUGGUGUUCUUUUAAAAGCUUGUAAAAUGAGAGUCUGAAUAUUUUCUUUUAUUAGGAGGAACAUGGUGCUCAGUAAACACAAAGAAGAUUACUAAAAAGGAAGGGGUGCUAAAUAUUUUAAGAUAGUCUGAAAUGAAAAUAAGUUCCAUAUUCUGGAAAUGGUAGGAAACCAGACAUAUAGGAGCACUGUGCAUUAAUAUAAUUCAGACUGUUUUACACUAGUAUAAAUUCUUUGAUGUGUCCCUGUUUAUGAAGUGAAGGAGACACCAGGGCAGAUGCUAUCAAAAAGGAAAGCAUCUUUCCAAUUAAGCAUUCCAGUGAAGGAAAGAGAGUCUAAUUCACUAAAAUUUCAACAUCCAUAAAUAACUAAUUGCUUUAAUCUUAAUCUCCAUGCUUUGUCCACUAAACUGCAGUAGUCGAAAUAUAAUGUUACCAUUGUCACUGGUACAUAUUACUGAGUGAUUUUCUUGAAAGCAGACACAAAAUACAAAAGAUUUUCCAAAUCUGUGUUUAUAUAUCCCUCUAUUUCUUUUUCGCUAUGGGGCUGUACUGCUUUUUCAUGACUGUUUAGAUAACUUUUUUGUUCGCUGAAUAAUCCCCAGAGGCAAUUCCCAAGAGGAGCUUUGCUUUUCCACUUUACUGCAUGGAUCUAUAUUACCUUUCCAGAUCAAGGGUGGAAAUAGAAAGACCCAAAUGACCCAGGGAGCUGCCUCUAGCAGUCAGCUGCAAAGCCAGGAGAUACUGGGCAGCAGCAGCAGCAGGGUUCUAGAGGGGAUCUGGAGAACAAGGCCUUUUGUGGGGGCACCAAUGCUUUCUGGGUCCCAAGGGGUCCCUGGAACUUGUGAACCAGCCCUACAGAUCAGUCCGCAAGGGAGGAAAUGAUGAUGGUGGUGGGGGAAGAGGAGAGCAGCAACUGUUGCCCUCUUGACUGGAUGAUGUUUGGGAAAGUCCACAAGAAAAACCCCUCCCAGGGUUUAAUAGGGGAGGCUGAGGGUGUGAUCUAGCCCCAGGUUAGGAACCCCUGUGUGCUCAGUGCAGAGCUUUUAUAAGUAAAGACAAUGCCCUUGCAUGAGUGAAGAUCAAACCCUUCCUAAUCUUCUGCUAUAAUAGACAAAUGGCUUAAUAACUGCCUGCAUAUUCUCUACAUCAGCUUUCUAAAAAUAACCGUCAAAGUUAGUAGAAUUGGUAUCUCUGAAUGUAGAAAAACUGGAGUCAGUAAGAAUACAUUUUCUUUUCUCUCCAAGAGGACAAAACAUUGCUUUUUUUCCCUUUCCUCACACAGGCAGUACCAUUUCCUUGGGAGAUAUAAAUUGCAGUGAAGACAAACAAAAAUACUGCUGAGGAAGAGAAACACUGCAUAUAUCAGGGACAGAAUACAGAUUUGGAUUUAAAAUUAAGAUGAUUUCAACAGCCCUUCAAAGAAGUCUCUCAAGAACAUAGUAAAACACACAGUCUUGUACACCAACAAAACUGCUUUGAGAGUACCUUCAUUUUUGACUGCUUUCUAUUUAUUCAAUUUCUUUUAAGUAAGCCUCAAUUAGUUUGGAGAUUCAAAUGUGGAGAAGAAGUAAGGGAAGCAAGAAGCUCAGCCCACCAAAUUGUGGCUCACUAGCAGAAUUUUCACAGCUUUAAAACAGUCUUCCUCCACAGGGCGCAGUGCUUCCGCCUAAACCUGCUUGUGAGAAUUUAUUAUCCCUGUGUGCAAGUCUUUGAAACCAGGAUUUUAACGGUAAUAAUUUCUCAGCAGUGAAAUUCAUGAGAGGCUGUAAUAUAAUGCCAAGUCUAUCCUAUUAUGGUUUUAAUUGGAAUAUACGUUUUAUGUGUUAUUAGAGCAAUGUUACUGUCCUCCUUAUGCUUAAUACUAUAUGAAUAGCUAAAGCCCUCUAAUGACCAUGUAAUUUAUUGUCCCUAUAGUUAUGGCAUUAAGCUACAAGUCACCUAAUACUUGCAAACAUUGUAAACUCCAAUUACAGCUACACCAGUGAUCCUUCUGUCAACUGAGCUAAAAAUGAGUCAAUGAUAAGGUUAAGCACUGAGCCACGUAACGCAGUUAUCUGGAGCUCAGCACCUGUACUACAGAGAAAUGUCCAAUAAACUAUGGUUAAAUAGUUUUACUUUGUUAUCAGAUAUAAGUAUAGCAAAUACAAUCAGCUUCCAGAAUGAUGUUGAUCACCAUCAUUCCAACAAUCUUUUAUGUAUUUGUCAGCUUUAUCCUAAUUUACUGCUAACAGUCAAUCACUGCUUCUCAAGAACCUGAGAGAUUUCACAGACACCAGGUUGGAUUCUGGCUACCCCUACAGAAAAUCUUGGAGGCUCAUGAAAGUAUUGCCUGCAGCUUCUAUUCAAGAGAAGCAUUGUCUUCAAAUACCUACAUAAUGUCUUCAAAUGAUGGCUGGACUAGAUAAUCUUAAAGGUCUUUUCCAGCCUGGAUGAUUCUAUGAUUCUGUGAAAAGUACUGUAGAAAAACAUAUUAAUCUUUAAGGUUUAUUUCCUUAUGGAUUACAUGUGUGUAUAUAUAUUCUCACAAACUGUAAAUUGCAUUUGUUUUGGAGACACAAGAGACACCAAAGAGAAUUGCAGCACCAGUUGCACUGGGAAUCUUAUAAAUGUCAGUGGAAAUUCUCUCCUGGCUGAUCCGUGAUAUAUGUGUAAUUCCUCUGGAUAAGCAUUCCUUUCAAAAGAAUACAUGUAGCAAAGUGAAUACAUAAAAUGGAUAAAUCAUCCAUCCUCAUUCGUGGUGUGUGAUUAUUCACUUGUACCACGUAACAUUUCUGCAGCCCAGAAGGUGAACUAAAUCGUACUAAAGAGGAAAACAAGAAAUUGGACAUUUCAACCACACAUUUUUUAAAAGGAAUGAGCAGUCAGACUACAUUUUGUGACACAUUUGAGAUUUGUGUGUGGCUUCAUACGUUUUCCCAUGACCAUCCAAAUAUUCAUGGAGAAUUAAUAACAUGGUCCUAUCUUUAGCAAGUUCCAUUCAUUCUUAUUUGUAUCUGGCUAUAAUCAGCACAGAGACCCCAAAUAUUGGACGACUGCAUUUGAUUCUUGAGUUCUUUUCUUUUUGUUUAUGUCAAAGCAAAUUAGCUGGAAGGACCCUGACGAGGAAAUCGACCAAACAGUGGAAGGUCAAGAGGGCAUUUCACUGAAAUGUAAUAUAAUAAGUACAACUUAAACAGUGACAAAUCCCAUUCACCUCUUUUGUUUUCUUGAAAUGUUUAGAAUUAUUUUUAACCGUCUUUUUAAUAAAUAAAAUUGUUCUAUUGGUUUAUCAUACAUUUGGAUUUCAUUAAUUUUAGAAUAUAUUCCAGGCAUCUAAAAUUAAACAGAUGUCAUUGGGCUCAUUUAGACCUCAAAUAACCCUUGCAACAAAACCAAUUAUUCAAGGGUCAGCUGGAAGUUGGAAUUUAAUAAUAAAGAAAAGUUUAAAAGUGAACAAAGAAAAGGAAGAAGAAGAAAAAGAAGCAGCAAUGCCAAUUCUCUGUCCACACAAUUAUUAGUGCAAAAAUAAAAAGUAGAAGAUCUAUCUUAAUAUGAGGGAAAAGGAUGGAGCUAAAGAGUGAAAGUUCAAGAAAACAUUUAUCCUCUGAAUGUUCCUUCUCCAAGGGGAAAUAGUCAAAAAAUUUUUCUUCCAGAUUUCUAGCUUUGCCAUAGGGAUGGAUAAAAGAAGAAAGGUUUGGUUUUGUUCUGGAAGUUGAUCCUGUGGUCAAAGAAAUGUAUAAAAUAUCAUGAUCAGUCUUUGUCUACUCUACCAGGAAACACCAUGGCAGAACCUGGGAAUCCCAGCUACAAUCCCAUACUCCAAACAACACUUCCACCUACUGUAAGAAUGUCGGGGUUUGAUUUUGGCUUGCAAGCACGAACUAUAACACUGGGGAGACUGCAGGCAGCGGAAAAAAAAUUGUGUCUCUAGGAGCCUCUAGAAGUUUCCAUCUCGUCAACAAGGGCUCAGCUUCACAAGCGGGUGACCUGAUGUUUGGCACCAAUGAGAAGGCAAGGACUGGUUGGAGACUGGAGAACACCUGCAGUAGUGCUCUCAAACUGAUAUCUCAGGGGGCAAUGAUGAGACAGAACAAGUUCCUUGGGAGAAACAAAUGGCUUCUGAUAUCCCUAAGGAAAGAGAAGUUUAAAAAACAUGAGUGAAAGCUGAUUGCUCUCCCUUCUUCCUCACCUUACCAAAGAGGGAACUGGGUUCCCAGUUCUGUAGGCAUCUCCAGAUUCACACAGGUGGGUCUGCAAUCAGAUGCUAAAAAUCCAACCAUUGUGAUUUCUUUGCUGAAAAUUAGGAGCUGAAUUUUACUUUGCUGAGCAGGAGGGAAAACAAGAAUUGCCUUUCCUUCAUAACCUGAGAGGUUUAGCUAAGUUCUCCUGCCAGGCAGCAAAGAUCUCCGGUAGCCUCUACCCUAAGUUAUACUGUUCUAUUUAGAUGUCAAGAUUGCUCAGUGGAGUCCUAAGUAAUAAUAAUAAUAAUAAUAAUAAUAAUAAUAAUGAUGAUGAUGAUGAUGAUGAUGUAUUGUAUGAAAACUGUAGUAUCAUGACUCCAAAUCCCACUGUAGAAGUUGAGGAUCUCUCUGAAAUGCUAUCAGGCACAAUGGAAAGAGAGUAGGAGGCUGACAUCUUUUAUAAAUAAUCAUAGAUUAUUUAUAAAAACACUUUUAUUCCCUUGACCCACAUUAUGUCUUCUCUCACCUCCUACAAAUUGUAUAUGGUGGUCUUGGCUGGUUGAGCAGACAUGCUGGCUUGUUUCUUGGUACUGCAGUUCUCUACUGUGCUGGUUGCUCCCAGGAAGGCACCACAGCCCAACAGUACUUCUCUCCAUAGGAAUUUUAUUCCUAAAUUGAAAGGAGAGAAGAAUGUGAAAGCAUCAGUAAUGAGCAAGGGUACAAGAAGACCUCUGAAUGACCCAGCCUGUUUGAGCACAGCUGGAGAAGGAGAGGUGACUCCACUUGGAAGGUCCUUCCAGACCAGCAUCAGGGCUCUGGCAUCCAGCCUGCUGAGCCACCACAAGGAUCAGCAUCCUAAACAGCGAACAGUAGCUCACAGCACAGGAGGAUGCAAAGUUAGUAGAGACCCUAGAACAGCAACACUCCUUCAGAAGCUCUUAGGCACAGUGAGGAAGCUGAGCAUCCCACCACAUAACCUCCCUCCAGCAGCUGGCAGAGGGCAGGGUCUGCCCUACCUGCUGGCUUAUGCCUGCCCUGAGGUUGGUAUCUGGACUUAGAUCUGGCCACGUUUGCAAAGCCGAGUGACUGAAACCAAUGGCAAUAACACUGAACCAGUCUAACCCCUCUUCAGUCAGUGAGCUUGAUGCAAGGAGCCAAGGGGACAGUCAAACUCUAUAGUGUGGACAUAGCUGCAAAUGUCCCUAUUCAUUGCAGGGCACAUGUAGCAGAGCAGCAUCCUCAGCUCCCACAUUCGGCACCAAUCAGAAGAGCUUUGCCUACUGUGGCUCUGGUCGAGCUCUCAACCCUCUGCUUGUAAAUAACCUCAGAUAACAGAUGGCAGUGAACUUACAAGAGUCAUGAAAUUGUACAAAACUGUCAUAGCAGUAAGGUUAGCAGAUCUGCCAGGAGUCAGUUUCAGUUAAAGCAACAGAUGCUGCUGCAGAGAGAGAUGCAUUGCAGGAACUUCAGCCUUUACAGAAAACAAAUGUACCUCUUCAGAUUUCAAUUUUUCAGUCUCUUGUUUUGCUUUGUUUUGUUUUUUAUGUUUUCCCCCUAUUUUCUUAGUGCAUUCCACAUUUAAAAAACAAAGGCUGCUCAUGGUGGAGGAGCAAUAGUGGCUUUCAUAUUUAAUAACUCCUAAAUCUUGUUCAACAUGUGGCAAUUGUUAGGUAGAUUUGAGCUGCAAUUAAAGAGGCACCCUUCUUUCUCUUCAGCAACAAUAUAGGCUCUUAAUCCGACUAAAACCAUCAUAUUUUAAGAGCUGAGAUCAUCCUGAGGCAAAUAGCAUCAAACUGAACACGGAUCUGUUUUUCAUAGGAAAGUUUAAAAGUUAAAGUUCACUUUCCUAGAAGUCUUCCAUUAGGGAGACAGCAGCUCCGAGCGCUCUUUUCAAGCACUCCCAGGUAUCCAUCAUCCAAAACAACGUCUGGGGAUGGAGAGGAGAGGAUAAUUACCGAAAUUCCUUUGUGAAAUCCCUUUUUCUUUAAGAGCCUGAGUCGGGGCUCUAAAUAGGAGUGAGAUGAGGGGGGGUUGUUGCCUGAUUAUAGAUUUGACUGAAGAUAAAAGUACUAUUUGUGUGACUCAGCCCUCGCACUGCUCGCAGCUCUGAUUUGGGCAACUGAUAAAGACUGUGAAAGGCAGGAAUAAACAGUGAUAAAACAACUGAGCAUGGUUUGGCUUCAGACCAAAACACACAUUUAAUAAAACCUGCAAGGUUCAUGGGGAGACAUUGUUGUUUCCUCCUGUGGUGCUGAGGUAGCUGUAAAAAUCCAUGAGCCAUCAGCAUGAGCCUGAUCCAUGCUGUCUCCAUAGCACAGUGCAGGACGCUGGGCUGCUGGUCAGGACAUUACACUGGUGGUUCUGGUUAUCUUUGCAGCCUUUGGGUCUGCCAAUCGUUUUUUUCAGCUGCAAGACAAGAAAAUAGUUGCUGGGGGACCAAAGGCGGGGCUAAAAGCUGAUAGUGAUGCACACAACCAGGUUAUAUAAACACUUGGAAGGUCCCUGAUCCCCACACUGCCUUAUGCAGCCCAUGGAUUCUCUUUUCUUUCCUCCAUUUUUCACUGAUCUUAUGCUCCAGAGCAAUUUUAGCUAAGGACGUGAGCCCUCACACAGAUUUACUGCUUUCAUCUGUGCAAAGGGGAGACUCAGCGUGACAGCAACUGUGUCUUCCAGAGGAUCUGUGCCAGGAGGCAUCUAUUAAUAUCCACCAGUCAUGCUGCUAAACCCCCGCAUCCUCCUUUGAAAAGGUAAUCCUGUAUUGUAUAGGUUCAACAAAUGAGAACACCGAGGGAUUUCCCUCAUUUAUAAUAACUGCAAAUGACUUGAAUGAAAAUGCCUCCGCAAACUAUCCAAGUUUGUAGAGGGCACAAAACUGAAGAGGGAACAAAUAACGAGGACCGAGGGAUUUGAAUCCACUGGUUGCCUGGCCAGUGAAUGGAAAAUGCAGUUUAAUGUACAGAAACAUAAAAUAAUAAGUCUGGGGCCAAUGAACCAGACAGGAGGAUAUUGUACCGAACAGCAGUGCAUCAUAUUGUCCAGUGAAGGGAUUUAGAGGUCACUGUGGAAAAAUCCUAGAAGAAUCAAACUUGGCAUACAGCUGAAAUGAAAAUAGCUACAGGAAAACAGCAGAGAGGUGGAGGGAAAGGGAAGGGCCAGAGCCUUCCUCCACCGUCUGCACAGCACAGCAACAGCAGGACUUUACUCUAAUUGGCACAGUGCUGUCCUGCCUGGGUAGCACAGCACAGAGACAGGAGGAUCACACCUUCCCCAGGUAUCUCAGUUCCUGUCCCACCUCUGCAGCCAUCCCCAUGGCUUGCCCUCCACCAGACACUGAGGGAAUGGCAUGCCAAAGUGUUCACUCCUUACUGAUAAAGCUCAGGGGGAUGCAACGCAAGUUCACUCCAGAGCUUAGUGAUGCUGAUAGGCAGGAAUGCAGGAACCAAGAACUCCUGCUCAUUUGCUCAUCUGCUUGUGCCUUGCUUCUGGCUCUGACAAGCAAGAAGAGCCAAGGCAGUAAAAGCCUGGGGAUACAGCAGGCACAGCAGGCACAGCAGGUCUGCCUGUGAGAGCACAGAGCAACAGCUGAACCCUGCCCAUAUUUGUCCCCAUCUGACCCUGCUCACAUAUUUGCAAUGGCCUGUCUGAAAUGAACCAAAAUAGCAAAGCUAAGGUGACAGCUCACAACCCUCCCCAUCUCCCAAACGAGCACUCUUCUUUUGUUAUUUUCUGAGGUGGUGAUGUAGCGAUACACAACGGAAAAUGGUGAGCAGAUCUAGCAUCAGCCUGAAUCAGCAGCUCAGGCGCACGCCCAGGCAGCCCUGCAAGAUGCAUUUGGCAGAAGAAGCAGGUGGGGAAGCGUUUUGUCAACUCUGGGACUGCUGAGCGAGAGCAUCGCCUCUGCGCACCGCUUCCGCGUUAGUUCUGGUUUUUCCCACCUGGGGGAGCAGCAGAGAUUCGAAGCCAGACUGACAGCGCGUCUUCCUUGUGAAACUGAGACACAUAAAACAUGGCAAACAGCCCCUGGAGGAAGGCUGCGAGGAGCAUGCAGAGGAUGGAGGCACAGGAAGCGCUCCCCAUUCCUCUUCUGCUCCUUCUGCGAUGUUUUCCCCUCUUCUUCCCCAUCCUUCCCCACCACUCCUGCAGAACCCCAGAAGGCUGCAGAGGACGGGGCCAGGAAGGGCGGCUGGGAGCAGUGCUGGGACCGCCGCCAGGCGUGGGGCACUGCACGGCACAGGGGCCGGUGGGUGGGUAGGGGCUGCCAGCCCAGUGGGGCCGCGACAUCUGGCAGCCGCCAGCACCACCUGCUCCUCCACUGCUCUGCCCCUGGCCGUGUUCUCCUAUAAACGGAUAGGUAACCUGGCUGUGCUCCAGCUGAAUGAGCGUGCAUGCACUGCUCAGAAUGAACCUGGGGAUAGAAACACAUUUCUGACCUAUUAUGCUGCCUGAAACACAGGACCUGGAACUGCUUCCAAGUUCUCCGUCCAGAUGCAUAUCCUGGCUGCCUCCCAACUCUGUGGCAGGUGAGACAGAUGUCAGAGUCUCUUGCUUGUCCUGUUCCCAUCUUUCCAUUGGAAAAAACAAGGGGGGGUGAUGGAGGAGGGGGGGGGGGUUGGGAUGCACAGUCCCAAAGCCACAGCAAAGCCUACAGCACAAACAAGCCCCAUGCCCAUACUGCUUCUGUACAGACUUGCCUGCAGCCACGAUGCAGCCCCUGUGCAAGCCCCCAAGGUCUGGAUUUGACCAUGCACAUUGCAUGGAAUGCUUAACACACACCAGCUGAUAACCUGUCAGUUUGAUCUAUGACAAUUUCUUAUUGAAUAAAUAACAUUUUCAUGCUGUCGGAUCAUUUCCUUUUCAGAGGCAGAGUGACUUGCAUCCGGCACAAACAUCAAGGAAAAUAAAACAUUGUUUACUGCCAUAAUAUCCCAUUGCUGCCAGCUGCCUCAGGCAAUACCCUCUUUCUAAGACUUGCAUUACUUGAAAUGCAGACCAGCCAAAUUCAGGUCUCCUUCUUUUUAAAAAAAUUCUGCCCGUGUUCCCCAUCCAACAAAGGCUUCUAUCUCCAGCCCUUUGCUAAAGACCACUAUUUUCCAAAGCAGGCUUUAAAACAGGAAUUGAACAGCACAGAAAUGUGACGCUGAAUGCAAUCUUUCAGAGAUUUUCCAAAAGAGCACUCAGAAAAGACUUAGGAAGGUGCAGAUAUUUUCUUCUCCCACUCCUGAUGCCAGAAGGGGCUUAAAAGUCAGCCCUGGAGGUGUUUUAUUGUCUGAAUAGACUCACUGCAAUAGUGGAGCAAAGAUGAGCAGUUUUAGCUUCUGCUCUUCCAUUAGUGUGCAAACUGUUAAAAGAUGAGGAAAACUGCAAUAAUAAACAUGAGCGAGCUUGCUGCAGCUGUGCCUGUCAGCUCCAGACAUUAGUGUGGCUAAUUCCAAUUGGGAACAGUUCCUGAGCUUGGUGAUAAAUUAAUCCCAGCUCUGAUAGUAUGUAAAGAUUUCUCCAUGCAUAAGCUGAGAGGAAACUUCUCAAACUGUUUGCAAAUUUCCCCUCACAGUUAUUUUGGUGACUACGCACCAAAAUAUUUAGGCUGCGUAUCUUUUUUGGACAGAGCACAACAUAUUUUUUAUGUUGAUUAAAUAUAUUGGAAUAAGUUAGGCUUCAUGCGAAGGAAAAAAUGACACAGAGGUUUGCGUUUACAUUGCAGAUGUAUGAAGUACAGCCGAUGGGGUUUAUGCCCUCUUUCCUGGAGAUAAGCUGCUAUGGCUUCAUAGGAAAAAAGCAGCGCUGUUGAACUCCUCUGAGAACGGCUGACAUUUUACUUUAGAUUGCUGGUUUUGGAAAAAAAAAAAAACCCACAGGCUGACUGCUAAAAUCAGGAAAUAUGAUAUCAUUCAUCCAUUUAGUUUUUUCUUUCCAUCCAUGUCCAUGUUGCUGUUGGUCCAUUGGCAGAACAACACAGCCCAGAGGACCAGAUAGAAACCCUCAUGGCAAUGGCUCAGCUCGAGCAAUGCCUGGGAAAGGCACAGCAAUGAGGAUGCCAGGGCAGCAGGAUCCUGGGCAGCAGGGCACCCUCUGUGGGCUGCAUCUGCCCUCCAUUGGCUCUCCAAUUCCUGUGCUUUCUCCCCAGCUUUCACACUCAUACACCGCAUUCAUUUCGCAGUUGAUUUUGGUCGCACUCCUGCAGGAGCUCCGGGUUUCAGGAAGUUAUUCACCUGGGCAGUUUCAUCUCAGCCCCAAUGAAUAGCUUCAUUCUGACAUAACAAAUAUAAACAGAGGGAAGGCUGCUUGCCACAAGGAUUCCUUUAUGCUGCGCCGUGAAUUGUUGGCCAGUGGCCAUUCAGCAUUGAAAGGCAUGAGCCACCUGUGUCAGGUAUGCUUAAAGUUCAUAUUGACUCCUGCCCACCACUAUUUACAUGAUGGACAACAUCAGAGAAAGGUGAAUUUAGUCAUUAAUUUUUGCCUGACACAGGAAACAGAAAUGAAAAGGAGCCCUUUUUUUUCCACGCAUUGCUUUUGUUUUCCAGCACCAUCAGUCAACUGCCACCUCUGCAUCACCUGCUGCGGGGCAAACGCAGGCCCAGGACACCAGGGAUGUUUUUGGGUCCCUGCUGCCUGGCAGGGUGCACCCAACAGUACCCCAUGCACCCAUAUUGCCUCCCGACCUCAACCAAUAUCAAGAUUCGCCCGGCCGCACACAAUGCAGCUUCCUGGGAAUGGAUUAGACAGCAAUCUGUGUGGUAUAUUUGUUAUGGCCACGACUUUCGUGGAGAAAACUGUGACUUCUAGCAGUUCGUGUAGACUUUGUAACCCCAGCCAGGCUGCUACUGACUCCUUGGUGAAUUUUUACAGCUUUGGCUCUGUUUGUGAGCGGUAUAGUCAAGAGCAGAGCUUUUAAAUGGAUUUAAGUUAUUAGUUACGUAUUACCGAAGGGUGUAACAUUCUUUAUGUUGUAACAUAAAGUCCAUUUGUCUCCUCUCCAUUUCCCACAGCGUGCAAUGUUAAAUACAGUGCACCAUUGUUGGGUUUCUCUCUGAAGUCGGCGUGGGGAAUUGAGGGCCACGAUUAUGCACCAACCCCGGCUGCAGUGAUCACAGCAAGGAAGGGAUAUCAUACAGGUCCCAGCCCGUGGGAGACCUUGUGAGGUCCUAUCCCAUGUGGGAUUCCUCUUCCCAUGUAGAAGGAGGAUGGUCAGUAGGAGAGUGCAUGGCAUGGCUCAGUUGGGAGGGCUGGAAGGACUUAUAAAGGAUUUACAAGCUGAGGGCUCAGCGAUGCUAUGUGCCACUGGAAGAUUUAUAGGGUCUCCUAUCUGCUCCCUACUGGAAAACCUUGGGGGGGAAAUCAGGAUCCCUACCCAUAUGGAUCAUCUCCCCUUCUUCGUGCACACACUUCCCCAGCAGGAAAAAUCUGCACUGUCUGGCAAUGGCCUUUUUUGUGGAUGGCAUGGAGGGCAGAAUUUUUGAGAUUAGUACAAAUACCCGUGUUUAAGAAACAACCCAUUUUGCUUAUAUAAGGACUAGCAACACAGACAAAAUCUGCAGCAUAUAUCUGGUUUUCUCAAACAAUUAUUGGUGGGCAGCCAAUAUUUGUUUUUUCUCUCCAAAACAGUGAAUAAACGACAGCACAAAGAGAACUGGCCACACUGUAAGCUAAUGUCAGAGAAGAAACCCUGUGCACUGCCCAAAUGACUCAAGCCAGCUUAUCUCCUGUUAGAAAAAUACAGACAGGUAAGAGAGAGCCAUCUAAAUUAUGGUUAAAACCAUUCAAAAGAUGUUUUAGCUCUGAUAUCCAUCGGAGCAGGCAGUUAAAUCCAGUCCCUUUCACAUGCUUCAUAGAUUUCUUUAUAACUGAGGCCGCUUUAGGAUUUUUGCUUUGUUGUAUUUUUCCUGACCUAAAAAGUCCUCUUCUGACUAAUAAUAGCAGUUUAAAAGUUAGGCAGUUGUCCCAAAAUCUUAUUUCUUUCUGCAAUAAAGCUGAGGGAAGGGCUACAGCUCUCCAACUGUCAUAAACAUGAAAUCAGGCCCCGCAGAAAUGCUGAGCUCAGAGACCUGUAGGUAAGGGACAAUUCUAUGGCUGUUGUCUGUCUGUAACGCACGUCAUCUUUAGGGACUGACUCUCAGAAUCCAUCUAUCACUUGGAGACAGAAAAGAAACAAAAGGGAAACUUUCUCCCAAAUCAUUCCAGGCCUGAUCCUGCAACCAUUUAUUACGGGGCUUGUGUGGGAUUAUCCCCUUGCACAGACACCAGCCCCACUGACUCUUCAGUUCAUGCUUAGCACUGUGCAUCUGAGCAUUUGCAUUGCGUGCAUGAAAUGUGUGGUGCUGCUCACCUGCCUGGACCUUCCCCAUGCAUGCAAAAGCAUUCUGGCUCAGGGCACUGUGUGUUUGCAGAGCUGCCACUUGCACUUGAAAUGAAUACACCUAAAUAUUUACAUGUAUUUUGCUCCUAUAGUAACAAGAACAUUGCCACAAUACGUCUCACGUAAACGCGCUGAUAGAUUCUAGCAUUACACCGCUGAUUUGAACAGCACGCCUACACAUGCAUGCAGUUCCUUGUUCACAAGCAAGCGCAGGCAGCUCACGGGAUUCUAUGAACCAUCAGACACGCAUCUGAUGCGAGAAAAAAAUCACAGAGAACGGGGAGAAACGGCGGCGACUGCAAAGCCGCAACCCCUGCGCGGGCAGCCCCACGUCCGGGCCGUGGAGGUGCAGAAAAGCGCCCGCAGCCCCGCAGCGCGCCGAGGCCACGCAGCGCUCCGCGCUCCCGCGCCCGCCGCCGGCCGCGGGCCGCCGCCACGAGGCGUUCGCCGGCUCCGGGCCGCGCUGCUCCACGGCGGCGGAUGGUGUGAGCAGCUCCGGGCUGAGCCUCACUGAUCUGCGGAAAGCCGGGCUUCCUCAUGCGGGGCCGCUACCCUCCGUGCUGCCUCCCGGUGUUAUUUAAGUUAUUUAAGUUCUACCUGGCGUUGUUAAUUGCCCUCUUGGUUGUGGGAUUGAAAAAGGGAAAUACCGUAUUCAGUAUUUUAAGGUUUACUCAGUUAAAUCUUGUAGCUCUGCUAAGGGGAUUUUUGCCUGGAUAUAUGGAUAGGUAUCCACAGUGGUAAAAUCAGGGCUUUUGUUGCAUGCUGGUACAAAACAGUGCUAAGAAGUGGGAAGACAAUGCAUUUAUUAUUAUUAUUCUGUGUGUGUGUGUGUGUGUGUGAAGAAUCUGGGAUUAAGCUGAUGGUUUGCCAUAAAGUUCAGCAGACUCCACAAUAACAUUCUUCCUUCAUCUCUGUUUCAGCUUCGUAGCAAGUCAAAUGGAGAGCACACACCUCUCCUGUGCCUUAAUUCUCCUCCUGACUGACAGUCAUGGAAACAAGGAGAUGUAUGCAGAAGAAACAGAAAAUUAUUAUUAUUGAUGUUUAUUAAUAUUAUUAUUUCUAAAAUCAUAUUUGAACCAAGAAAGCAAAACAGCUUGAAUUUCCAACAUUAAUUGCUAAAAAUGAGCCUGGCAGGGGGAGGCUGGCAGAAAAAAAUAUAUAUAUGAGAAAUGAAUUCAAGAAAAUCAUAUUCUGUCCUCACCAAAGACAAAGCUUAUGAAAAAAUCGAUAUUGAAUCACUCACUGAGCUCCAAUUCUACAGACCUAACACAAGAUCUGUCCUGCAGUAGCAGCAGUCCAUCCUUCUCAGAGGUACUAAAAACCCUUUUACAUAGCUGGUUAGAGAUCUUGUUUCUACAUAAAAUUUCAUGCUUUUAUAAAAGUAAAUUCCAAAGCUAAUGUAACCCUUCAGAGGCAUCGUUACCCAGGGUUUUAUUGCCAGGCUUGUUAACUCUCCUGGUAAACACCAGCCCCAGCCACUCUGCUCAGCCUCCACUCUCCUUCAAAGGCUGUGAGAUUUAUUUUCCAAAUAUUCCUAAAGACACACUGCUCACUAACCUGCUCUCAGCGAAACCCUAGGAAAGUGUCCCCUGGUUUGGUGGCAUUAUCCUGCAUUUCACAGGUGGAAGGGAGAGCAGCAAGAGCCCCGUGGUCGCUUAACAAGAGCGGUUUUUGGCUUUGCCAGGAGAUAAUUGCUCCAGUAGUGAGCUGCUGCUAAUCCUGGGCUGUGUGCUUGGUGCUGACCUGCAGCCCUGCUGUUUACAUCAGUGGGAUUUUAGGGCCAAAUUUUGCAGUUAAUUGCCGCCGUAUAAAUCUGGAUUCCUAAAUCUCCCUCCCAAGGCAAGGAGAUCCUUUGGAUUUGUCGCUGUAAGAGAUGGUGAAUUUGGGGCUGAUCUCACAGCCACUAAAAUCAGCGGGCCUUGUCUCGGCGAAGCAUAGGAAACACCCGGGCAAGGCCCUCUCCCAAAUUUCCUAACGGCAAUAAACAUGGGCAAUUAGGGGCUCCGCUGGCUCGGAGGAACGAGGGCUGCCUUAUCUCUUCCUGCCGCAAGCUUCGGGGCUGUCAAGCUUGGGUGGUAUGGGGAGGUGUCACUAUCAGAGAGGCUAUAGAGGGAUUAAUACCGCUGUGGGCUGCAUUAUGUCCUGUCAGAAAUCUUUGCAAAAAGAGCAAGGACUGGAACUGCGAGCUUUCAGCCCUAAGCUCUGAACUC
rnacentral:lncRNA from 1 species